GUGAAUCAUCAAAUUUUUGAACGCAAAUUGCACUCUCCGGUUUUCCGGGGGAGUAUGCCUGUUUGGGGGUCUGUUUAAAAAAUAAUCGUGGCUGCUGCUGUGUUGGCGCUUCGGAAUUGGGUCAUCUUCCACCUUUCGCGGUUGUAGCCGACCUAAAAUUUUUCUUACGAUUUCUACUAACGUUUCUAAGAAUUUUUCUUGUACGUUCGAAACAUCGAAAUCAUAUUUGACGCGACCGCCGCGUCGGGUUC
rnacentral:misc_RNA from 1 species